UUUACUUUAGGUUGACUAGUCAUUAAGGCUGUGUGUUUUACUUUAGGUUGACUAGUCAUUAAGGCUGUUACUUUAGGUUGACUAGUCAUUAAGGCUGUUACUUUAGGUUGACUAGUCAUUAAGGCUGUGUGUUUUACUUUAGGUUGACUAGUCAUUAAGGCUGUGUGUUUAGGUUGACUAGUCAUUAAGGCUGUGUGUUUUACUUUAGGUUGACUAGUCAUUAAGGCUGUUAGUUUAGGUUGACUAGUCAUUAAGGCUGUUACUUUAGGUUGACUAGUCAUUAAGGCUGUGUGUUUUACUUUAGGUUGACUAGUCAUUAAGGCUGUGUGUUUAGGUUGACUAGUCAUUAAGGCUGUUAGUUUAGGUUGACUAGUCAUUAAGGCUGUUACUUUAGGUUGACUAGUCAUUAAGGCUGUUACUUUAGGUUGACUAGUCAUUAAGGCUGUUAGUUUAGGUUGACUAGUCAUUAAGGCUGUUAGUUUAGGUUGACUAGUCAUUAAGGCUGUUAGUUUAGGUUGACUAGUCAUUAAGGCUGUUACUUUAGGUUGACUAGUCAUUAAGGCUGUGUGUUUAGGUUGACUAGUCAUUAAGGCUGUUAGUUUAGGUUGACUAGUCAUUAAGGCUGUUAGUUUAGGUUGACUAGUCAUUAAGGCUGUUAGUUUAGGUUGACUAGUCAUUAAGGCUGUUAGUUUAGGUUGACUAGUCAUUAAGGCUGUGUGUUUUACUUUAGGUUGACUAGUCAUUAAGGCUGUUACUUUAGGUUGACUAGUCAUUAAGGCUGUUACUUUAGGUUGUCUAGUCAUUAAGGCUGUGUGUUUUACUUUAGGUUGACUAGUCAUUAAGGCUGUGUGUUUAGGUUGACUAGUCAUUAAGGCUGUGUGUUUAGGUUGACUAGUCAUUAAGGCUGUUACUUUAGGUUGACUAGUCAUUAAGGCUGUGUGUUUUACUUUAGGUUGACUAGUCAUUAAGGCUGUGUGUUUAGGUUGACUAGUCAUUAAGGCUGUUGUACUUUAGGUUGACUAGUCAUUAAGGCUGUUAGUUUAGGUUGACUAGUCAUUAAGGCUGUGUGUUUUACUUUAGGUUGACUAGUCAUUAAGGCUGUUAGUUUAGGUUGACUAGUCAUUAAGGCUGUUAGUUUAGGUUGACUAGUCAUUAAGGCUGUUACUUUAGGUUGACUAGUCAUUAAGGCUGUGUGUUUAGGUUGACUAGUCAUUAAGGCUGUUAGUUUAGGUUGACUAGUCAUUAAGGCUGUGUGUUUUACUUUAGGUUGACUAGUCAUUAAGGCUGUUACUUUAGGUUGACUAGUCAUUAAGGCUGUUAGUUUAGGUUGACUAGUCAUUAAGGCUGUGUGUUACUUUAGGUUGACUAGUCAUUAAGGCUGUUAGUUUAGGUUGACUAGUCAUUAAGGCUGUUACUUUAGGUUGACUAGUCAUUAAGGCUGUGUGUUUAGGUUGACUAGUCAUUAAGGCUGUGUGUUUAGGUUGACUAGUCAUUAAGGCUGUUGUACUUACAUCAUCCCGUUGAAGCUUGUGUAACAUAUCGUUUUCCUCUGAGGCACGUCUCUCCUUCUUAAUACACUUAGCUACAGGAGAGGAUCUGCUGUCUGUAAGGUCGGUCCCUCUCCACCCCCCUGUACAGAACAGAGGACAGGACACCCUGGAAUCCAGUGUUUCUAAUGAUCAUGAUAAUAACCUGUUUCUUUAACACACAGUAAAGGCAGCUUCUGGCAGAGAAGGUCCAAUUCACCUGGUU